UACGAAGGGUGCAAGCGUUACUCGGAAUUACUGGGCGUAAAGCGUGCGUAGGUGGUUCGUUAAGUCUGAUGUGAAAGCCCUGGGCUCAACCUGGGAAUUGCAUUGGAUACUGGCGAGCUAGAGUGCGGUAGAGGAUGGCGGAAUUCCCGGUGUAGCAGUGAAAUGCGUAGAGAUCGGAAGGAACAUCUGUGGCGAAGGCGGCCAUCUGGACCAGCACUGACAAUGAGGCACGAAAGCGUGGGGAGCAAACAGG
rnacentral:rRNA from 1 species